rnacentral:rRNA from 1 species
UACAGAGGGGGCAAGCGUUAUUCGGAAUUAUUGGGCGUAAAGGGCGCGUAGGCGGCGUGGCAAGUGGAUGGUGAAAUCCCUCGGCUUAACCGAGGAACUGCCGUCCAAACUGCUUCGCUUGAGAUCGGGAGAGGUGAGUGGAAUUCCCGGUGUAGUGGUGAAAUGCGUAGAUAUCGGGAGGAACACCAGUGGCGAAGGCGACUACCUGGCCUGUUCUUGACGCUGAGGCGCGAAAGCUAGGGGAGCAAACGGG